rnacentral:rRNA from 1 species
GCCGGAGGUCAUUGCUAUUGGGGUCCGAUUUAGCCAUGCUAGUUGCACGAGUUCAUACUCGUGGCGAAAAGCUCAGUAACACGUGGCCAAACUACCCUACAGAGAACGAUAACCUCGGGAAACUGAGGCUAAUAGUUCAUACGGGAGUCAUGCUGGAAUGCCGACUCCCCGAAACGCUCAGGCGCUGUAGGAUGUGGCUGCGGCCGAUUAGGUAGACGGUGGGGUAACGGCCCACCGUGCCGAUAAUCGGUACGGGUUGUGAGAGCAAGAGCCCGGAGACGGAAUCUGAGACAAGAUUCCGGGCCCUACGGGGCGCAGCAGGCGCGAAACCUUUACACUGCACGCAAGUGCGAUAAGGGGACCCCAAGUGCGAGGGCAUAUAGUCCUCGCUUUUCUCGACUGUAAGGCGGUCGAGGAAUAAGAGCUGGGCAAGACCGAUACCAACAGCCGCGGUAAUACCGGCAGCUCAAGUGAUGACCGAUAUUAUUGGGCCUAAAGCGUCCGUAGCCGGCCACGAAGGUUCAUCGGGAAAUCCGCCAGCUCAACUGGCGGGCGUCCGGUGAAAACCACGUGGCUUGGGACCGGAAGGCUCGAGGGGUACGUCCGGGGUAGGAGUGAAAUCCCGUAAUCCUGGACGGACCACCGAUGGCGAAAGCACCUCGAGAAGACGGAUCCGACGGUGAGGGACGAAAGCUAGGGUCUCGAACCGGAUUAGAUACCCGGGUAGUCCUAGCUGUAAACGAUGCU